UCCAGACUCCUACGGGAGGCAGCAGUGGGGGAUAUUGCACAAUGGGGGAAACCCUGAUGCAGCGACGCCGCGUGAGUGAAGAAGUAAUUCGUUACGUAAAGCUCUAUCAGCAGGGAAGAAAAUGACGGUACCUGACUAAGAAGCCCCGGCUAACUACGUGCCAGCAGCCGCGGUAAUACGUAGGGGGCAAGCGUUAUCCGGAUUUACUGGGUGUAAAGGGAGCGUAGGUGGCAUGGUAAGCCAGAAGUGAAAACCCGGGGCUCAACCCCGCGGAUUGCUUUUGGAACUAUCAGGCUGGAGUGCCGGAGGGGUAAGCGGAAUUCCUAGUGUAGCGGUGAAAUGCGUAGAUAUUAGGAGGAACACCGGUGGCGAAGGCGGCUUACUGGACAGAAACUGACACUGAGGCUCGAAAGCGUGGGGAGCAAACAGGAUUAGAUACCCGGGUA
rnacentral:rRNA from 1 species